GACGAACGCUGGCGGCGUGCUUAACACAUGCAAGUCGUACGGUAAGGUCCUUUCGGGGGUACACGAGUGGCGGACGGGUGAGUAACACGCGAGUAACCUGCCCACCACUUUGGGAUAACUCAAGGAAACUGGCGCGAAUACUGACCAGGUGCCACUGCAGCAUGGUGGGGGUUGGAAAGAUCCGGGGGUUGUGGCUGGACCUUCGGCCUAUCGGCGUGUUGGUGGGGUAGUGGCCUACCAAGGCGGCGCAGGGUGGCCGGCCUGCGGGGGUGACCGGGCACAAUGGGACUGAGGUACGGCCCAGAAUCCUACGGGAGGCAGCAGUGGGGAAUAUUGCACAAUGGGCGCGAGCCUGAUGCAGCAACGCCGCGGGCGGGAUGACGGGCUUCGGGUUGUAAACCGCUUUCAGCAGGGACGAAGCGUUUUGUGACGGUACCUGCAGAAGAAGCACCGGCUAACUACGUG
rnacentral:rRNA from 1 species